rnacentral:lncRNA from 1 species
GAGAGUGAGCUUCAAGCUCCUUUGAAAGGUAUAAGACUUGGUUUCAUAGGAUUUUGGAGGGCUUUUUACAAUUGUUGUUUAAAGUCAGUGUUUAUAUUGGUGAUUUGGAUUUUUUGUAAUAAAGUUAGGAUAAGUACUCUUGACUGUUUUGUAAAAUUGGAAAAACAUCUAUGGUUGAAAUUUUAGAGAUGUUUAGAUAGUUGAGUAUGCCAAGCACAUGCAAAAACUUGUAUGAAUCUAAUGGUAUGGAUAGAGAAUAUUUGAUCGUUAGUGUAAAGAGGUAUCAGAAGUUGGCAGAUUGAGAUUGUUUAGGGUUUCUACGAUAUCUG